rnacentral:rRNA from 1 species
GACGAACGCUGGCGGCGUGCUUAACACAUGCAAGUCGAACGAAGUGGCGAACGGGUGAGUAACGCGUAAUCAACCUGCCCUUCAGAGGGGGACAACAGUUGGAAACGACUGCUAAUACCGCAUACUGAAGGAGGGGAUUGCGUCGGAUUAGCUAGUUGGAGGGGUAACGGCCCACCAAGGCGAUGAUCAGUAGCCGGUCGUGGAGGAUGAACGGCCACAAUGGGACUGGGACACGGCCCAGAAUCCUACGGGAGGCAGCAGUGGGGAAUCUUCCGAAAUGGACGAAAGUCUGGCGGAGCAACGCCGGGGGAGUGAUGACGGCCUUCGGGUUGUAAAGCUCUGUUAAUCGGGACGCGGUACCGGAAGAGAAAGCCACGGCUAACUACGUGCCAGCAGCCGCGGUAAUAC